rnacentral:tRNA from 1 species
AUUAUUUUGGCAGAAUAGUGCAUUAAAUUUAGAAUUUAAAAAUAUAGUAUAAUUGUAAAUAAUA